UGCACUAAAAUACCGAGAGAGUAGUAGCAGUCACUUUGUACUAUCAGUAACUGCAAUAUCUCUUGGUAUCGUAAGGUUC
rnacentral:pre_miRNA from 1 species